rnacentral:misc_RNA from 1 species
UCCGGCUUGUCACCGGCAGUUUCUUCAGAGUGCCCGGCACUACCCGGUGGCAACUGAAGAUGAGGGUUGCGCUCGUUGCGGGACUUAACCCAACAUCUCACGACACGAGCUGACGACAGCCAUGCAGCACCUGUGUUCCGGCCAGCCGAACUGAAGAAUGAGGUCUCCCCCACCCAUACCGGACAUGUCAAGGGCUGGUAAGGUUCUUCGCGUUGCGUCGAAUUAAACCACAUGCUCCACUGCUUGUGCGGGCCCCCGUCAAUUCUUUUGAGUUUCACCCUUGCGAGCGUACUCCUCAGGAGAACGGGGAGGAAGGUGGGGAUGACGUUUGAGAGUACGUCC